GGUGAGUAACACGUGGAUAACCUACCUAUAAGACUGGGAUAACUUCGGGAAACCGGAGCUAAUACCGGAUAAUAUAUUGAACCGCAUGGUUCAAUAGUGAAAGACGGUUUUGCUGUCACUUAUAGAUGGAUCCGCGCCGCAUUAGCUAGUUGGUAAGGUAAUGGCUUACCAAGGCAACGAUGCGUAGCCGACCUGAGAGGGUGAUCGGCCACACUGGAACUGAGACACGGUCCAG
rnacentral:rRNA from 1 species